GGUUAGGUCCAACCAUUAACAUGAUUUGAUUUGGUGAAUCGGACCAAUAAAUGAUCAGGCCCGACUUUUGCCGGCCAACCUGACCACCAUCAGAAAGACUCAAACCAAAUUAUCAUAUUAUGAAUGAUAAUUCCAUUAGUCAAUAAGCACCAGGCCUUUGAGCCUCCAAUGAUUAUUAAACUAAUGGACUUAUUAUCACUCACUUAAUGGGAGGCUAUGACUUAGUUAUCAAUAUAACUUAAUCAUUUUUAGGAACCUAAUAAUUUUUGAGGAUUUUAUUAAAGGAUAGAUGAGAAGAAAAUAUCCAGCCAAUUUCAAUCCUCCCACUGACUUCACGAAGUCAGAUUAAAAAAAGAUUAAAUUAAAGCUGGCAUUAGGAGCACCUAAAUCAGUCAAACUGAUUUACCUAAUGACAUGGGUGAGCCCUAAUCACCAAGUGAUCUAAUCAAAACCUAAUUCAUCAGGUUGGCCAGGUAAGUGAUGGUGGGGAUAAGCCAUUAACUCGUCAGAGAUCGAAUCACUGUGAGUAGCUCCCGCUUAAAAACCACUGGUCAAAAUGCCAAACUUACCUUAGACACCA
rnacentral:lncRNA from 1 species